rnacentral:lncRNA from 1 species
UCGUCGCAUUUCGCGAACACUGGCGGUCUGAUCCACCGCAAGGAGUGUUCUUUUCCGGAAAAGUGGUUGAAUGGUGACAACCCGUGAGCCCUAGAGGGGUUAUAUGCACUGGAGAGUAGUAGUGGCACUGGCUUGAGGUCUGCGGUGCUGACCAAGAGAGCAUUGGUUUCAGAUUGGGUACUUUUGGACUUCUUGACCGGUUGACGCAUAUGUCUAUAGUAGCAGUCGUUGCAUGCAUACUUACAGUUCUUGCUUUAUAGUUGUCUUGCUACUAUAGUAGAUAUUCAUGUAUGCUUUCUGUUCCAGUUACAGUAGCGGUAGCCGUUAUUCAGUCUAGUUCUUACUUUCUUUCAGUUUAUUGCUACUGUAUUCAGUAUAUCUGCUUAUCACCUUAUACAUCUCUUUCGUUUAUUAUUGUUCCUACUAUGUUUCUACUGACCGGUGUUGUUGUAUAGCUCUUCCUGAUCCGGUGAGUACUCCUCGCCUUCUUCGGCUUGCGGUACCCACUGGGAAGGGAGACAUGUUUACAUGUUCUCACCUCCCCCACUAUUUUUCAGGUAUCGCGGGCGGUGAGGGUUGAGAUUGGACGUGAGAUACGUAGCGGUCGAUAGAGCUUCCGACCUAGGUUAUUCGGUUUAGUUCUACCCUUACUAUUAUGUUGAUAUAGCUUAGAUAGUUUAUAUGGUUCAGUAUAUUUUAUUAUAUUUGAAAAUAUGGGUUUUCAUGAAUGUAAUAAAUGGAUUUGUGAAUUUUGUGAAAUGGAAAGGUUUUCUACCCCUUGUGGUAGUGUUUUUAAAGAAUAAAGGUUUCUGUAUAGGAAACAGUUUUCAAAAGAAUUUUCUGUGGAUUUAUGUUUAAAUAUUAAAUGCAAAUCUGUGAUGUGAAUGGUGAAUGUAUGAAUGUAUGAAUGAAUAAUUAUUUCUAUAUUCAUUUAGUUGUGGUUGUAUCCUGUUUGUACCGUUGUACUUGUGCGACGCCGUGCAAAUACAGGGGAGACUCUGUCCGUGUGAACAGUGGAAUCCCUGUAUUUGUGGCGGAUCUGGCAUACUCUGGGGUCAGGUUUUCAAAAAAAAAAAAAAUUUAGACGCUUUUAACGCUGUGUUCAAAUAAAAAGGGACCCCGGGGCGUGACAGCAUCACAUCUAAAUUAUGACGUAUAAGAAGUUUUUCCCAAUAUGGUAAGGAGAAAAAUAUACUUUUUUUCUUCC